GUGCAAAUCCUUUUGCAUUCUUCACAAGUCCAAAAGUGCUUUUGCUCCCCUCAGGCCUGCUGUGCAAUCCUUUUCCCAGUCAUUCACCAGUCUUUUCACCUUCAUCCAGCUUCAGCUGAGGGAAAGACAAUAAACUGGAUAUCACUUGACACCUGGUAAGCUGGCCCUCACUCCACCUUUUCCUCAUUCUUUUUUUUUUUUUUUUUUAUGGUGCCUGAAAUACAGAUGCCUUCCUCUAAGUACCAUUUACCAGCCAUUUCAGAUACUAAUAGUCAAACUCCUUUUUUACCCUUUAUUUUCUUUCAGGGAACCUUUUGCAACCCUAAAGAUUGUCCUACAGACCCAUUACAGUCAUGGCAGGAAAGCAGAGUGAUUGUCAGGACAUGGAGCAGAACACAAGGAAGAAGUCAGUGUGGGUGCUAGUAGUCACUGGGACCUCCUUCUGGAGAGGUCAAGACUGCAAGUGGCAAGCUGUCAAACUAGUGUGUCAGGGGAGGUAUCUCAAGUCCUUUUUGAGGAUGAGAUUGGAAUUUAAUCCAUUCUCCAUUAGCUUUAAUAUCUGCUAUCAAAUCAAAAAACAAGCUCAAAAAAGGAAGGAAUGAUUUGAUGUCUAGAAAGAGCAUUAAUUAGGAUUGAUAAAGCAUAAUUCUAGCACAAGAAGAAUAUAUAGAAGUAUUUUUGUAAUUAUCUUAGUUAACUGGGACAUAAUAUUAAUUCUUUACAUCACUAACAUUUCUAAUCUCUCCAUGGCUUCCGUACCUGAACAAUAUUUCCUUUCUCUCAUUCUGAAUCAUCAGACUGCACUUUCUGUUGGGAAACACCAGCAAAAUGGCAGGGAUUAAAGAGAAAUCCAAUCCAAAUGACAGGAUGAGAAGGAUUUCUAGAAGCUGUUUGUUAAAUACGUUUAUUUAAAUAGUUUUUUUUUUUUAAAUAGCAAUUGAUCUCAGAUAUGACUUGAUGUUAGAAGCAUAAUUGCAUUCAUUCAUAGCAAGGAAACAAUUGCUUAUGAGAACACUUUCCACAAAGUGGUAGUAAGAUGUCUUGAUCUAGUUUUAAUUCAGUCCAAGCUGUUAGUAGGCUGCAUUCUGCAGAAGAGUCUCUUAAUCUAGUAAAUUCAGAUGCACUGCAUUUGCCUAUUUUGCAUGAGCAAACUUAUGUAUUUGAAGUCAGCGAGCUUAAACUGUGCAGCAUAAUUAGAGGAAUGAGCCUCAGGUUGCUUUGUCAAAACAUUUUUUAAUUGCUGGAUUUUAGGAUUAUUGGAUUAGAAGAUUAGAUGGAAUGCCUGGAAAUCUUGAUUUGGAGCAUUAAGUAAGGCUUCUCAUGAAUGAGUAUAAUGGCUCUGUAAACCUGAGUUUGAAUCAGCUGCUGUAAUAGUUGUAGAUAUUUUCAUGCUAGGACAAUGCAAUUCUAUGCUUUCUUUGUUCCUCCCUACCCUCUCUUUUUUAACAUAAUUUUUAAUUUUAAGAAACCUUUUGACCUUCCUGUCUGAGAAUCAAUUACUGACUUUUGAGUAGCUGCGAGUGCUAUAGUCCCUCUGGGUGUGGUCUUUGAAUUGCUAAGCUUCCUUGCCCAUAUGUUUCUAAAGGAGUCUUGACACCAGACAUUCUCCCUUCAGUGGAUGUUUAUCACUUAAUUACAUUACAGUCAGUAAGCACAGGUACAGUUUUUAUGGCAUUCUUACGUUUACAAGACACUGUCAACAGAGCAUUCUGCAUCAAUUAAACAGUUUCUCUGAAUCCCAUAGAUGGUAAACUACAAGUUUUCCUUUUUUUUUUUCAAUAUGAGGGUGGAUUCACUAGCAAGUGCAGAGUCUUCACACAUGGCACACAGAAAACUGCUCUGACGUUCUAGUUUAUCUCACUUUGUUGGGAGACAUAGUUCUUCACUCCUAAAGUUAGUGAAAUAAAGAUUUCUAUAGCUGCUGGUACUCUCUCUGAACAGCCCAACAUUUUGCAGACCACAGCUAUAGCUAUGAAGGACGAGCAAGAUGUAUAUGCUGUGUGUACAUGUGUGUGAAUGAGCAGAAAAGUAAUGGCAUAUUGAUGUACAGAUUGUUAUACAGGGAUGGAAACUUUGGGUCCUGGUCCAAAUCCUCUAAAGAAAAAUGCAAUGAAGUUGGUCAUGCCAAUUGAACAGAAAUAUCUGCUGACUUCUGCUGGGGUUCUCAACCUACAAUUUCAGAGUCUAGAUGUUUCAAAUGGGACGUUUAAUCUACUAAUGUAGUGUUGCUCUUCCCUGAAAUUAUUUUUAAGUAUUAGAAAGAUGGCUUUAAAUUACAGAAUUUAAGAAGUUAUUUAAAAUAAACUGUCAUAAAUUUUGCAAGGCAAACAGAACAGGAAUUGAAUUCAGAAGCAAUAAAGAGGCAACUGUGGUAGCCAUAUUCCCAAGCUAUAGACAGAAUAGUUUUUGGCACUUCAAAGUUCUGUGCACCCUAAUCACUUUGUAUUUGGGCUGCUAAAGUGACUGCAUCCAAAAUAAAAGCCAAAAUACUAGAAGUAUCCCACUACAAUGGAGAUCAUGGGUUUUCUGAGCAGCAGGAUUAGUAUGGGAAGUUGUAAAUCAUUAUUUUGUUUUCUGGAGUAGAAGAAAAAUACUCCAGUGAAAGUUCAGCAUCUUUUUCAUCAACUGGUAUUUUUGACACUGAUUUCCACAAAGCCAGAAUUUUGCCUUAUGAGUUUGACAGUCUUCUCAGGAUUUAACAUACCUGAAUUAGCAGAAUUCUGUGUAUUGACAGUUUUCAUAUUUUCAAGUUGAAAUUGUAGGAAUAAAAGAGAAAGCAGUUUAUUACUUCUGGUUUUGGUGACAGAGCUUCACCCAAACCAAGUGUUUCACUAAAUUCUCCAAUAUUAUCCCCAAAUAUCACUAUAAGAACUGCACGUGAUCUGUAUGUCAGCAGCACCACCGCUAUCUUUAUGCCAAUGGAUUCUUUCUUUGUGUGCCACUGGCUUUAGAAAGCCAGUUGACUUUUUUUUACUUACUUGUCUCUUAAAAGACAUAAAAGACACCAUUCCAAAGAUUUUUCUAUUCUUAGAGAUUCACAUCAAAAAGAAGUGUAGAAAAAGCUGUAGUAUAUAUCUGAACUCUGUCAUUUAGGUUAUAGAAGUUUCUUAUUAAUCAAAAAUAUUCCUGCCGGAAACAGAUUCAGACUUCUUUGGUAUUUAUAAAUCCUUUGCUAAAUAAAAUAAAAAUGAAUUAUAAAAUCAAGUUUCUUUUGAGCCUAUGUCCUUGCAGCUGCACUCCACUUUCAAGAUUAACACAUCAGUUAUUAAUUUAGAACGACAACAGCAAGCAGUCCCCAGCCUUUAAUUAGUAUCCUUUCAACAAGCACAUAAUCUUUGUUAAUAAAAUCUCCCUUAAAGUAGUUUAUCUGUGGUCUCACUUGCCAUUGUAAGCAAUUGGCAUCAAAUCUUGGGUAGUUUGUAGUGCUUUCUCUAAAAAGUCUUUUAAAAGUGGAUAAACAGUUACAUUUCACUGAAUAGAAACAGCAUUUAAAGAAAGUCACCCUCAAUCCAAUAGCAGAGGUGGAAGUAAAAUCUAGUUUCCUGAAUGGCUCUAUUGUGCAGUCAACUAAGCUAUGAUGCUGUCUCCUGUCUCAGUAUCUUGCAAGGAAAGGAUUAAAUUCUGAUUCCUAGUUGUUAUUUCUUCUUUCUGUCAAUAUCAAGAUCUUAGAUCUGAAAGUUGUAGUACAAUAUUGUAACUAUAAUACCAAGAACAAAGGCAAUCAAGAUGACUGAGAAAGGUCAAUGUUGCAGUGCAGUUUAAUUGAGAACCCAAGAAAGACCAGAAGUCAUGUCACAUCUCCAGAAGUCAUGAGUAAAAGUAAUGUCCCAAACACCACGGGUUGCUCUAGAACUUUCAAAAGGCAUCAGCUUUUACCAUGACCUAAGAGCAUUAACCUUAGACAUGAGCUAUUUUAAUUUGCUUCUUUGUUGUAUGCUUUUUUUCUUCUAGUUAAGUCAACGCUGAAGAAUUAAAGAAAAAUCAUGAGGCAGGUAUUAUCAGAUAAGGAAAAAUAUAAGAAAAAUGUAUUUCAACCAUCCUCAGUAGAAUUUCAGCAUUAUUUUCUUAUAUGCCUGCUGCUUACAUGCCUGCAAGCUAAACUGGAGGUUUUAUUGCUGUGACAAUUCCUAUGUUUCUGUGGCAUUCCAGAAACCACAAAUUAGAAAACAGUUUCUUACAAUGUAAUACCAAACAAAACACAACAUGAUCUUCCUUCUUUCUCAUGCACGUUAACUGUAAAAUGUUUCUUUGUUCAGAAUGUGGCUCUGAUUACAUUUCUCUAUCCAAAAAUAAACACUGUGCAAAGAAGAAAGAUGCAAGGAGAGGAGGAAAGCCUGUCAAUGGGCCACCCUCAGGAAAACCUCACAAGAUCUACUGUCUGUCUCUGCAAACCAUGGAAGAGCUGAGGAAGUGAUCCCAGCUUGGUGGUCUUAUUUUUAAUUAAAACAAAUGAGGCUCUUUCAGCUGCUGCAGAUAAAUAUUUGAUGAAAAGAGACAAGGACAGAUGUCAAAGACUGCAGUAAAUAAAGAACAAGACCAGGAAAGCAAAUGUUACAGCAGCAUUUUAUAUACCAAAAAAAAAAAAAAAAAAAAGUUUACAAAUUUCUGUCAAAUGUCUUCCCAUCCAGGGCUUAAUUUUACUAUGAGUCUUUCCAAAAGCAGGAAAACUAAUUGCUUGUGAUCACUUUGAUAAAAUAGAUUGAAAAUACAAAUGCACAUAGCUAAAGAAAAACAUAAAAAUCACUUUGCUGCACAGCAUUUAAAAAUAGCUUGGUGAUUAUACAAUGGUAUAAGCCAAACCAUGAAAGUGCAGAUACUAGAGUUAAGAAUGAAAAUGUGAAAUACUUACUUGAUUGAAGAUGGUUAAGAAGAAAAAGUAAAAAGUUGACUGCAGCGCGUAAGGAUCUACAAGCAGAUGCCAUAGAGAUGUUUAGUUUAACAGUAGGAAUAAGAGAAGGAAAAGCAGCAUCCAGUGACAUUAAGCAACAGCCAACCGAAUUCAGAUAAGAGAUGACAAAUGCAUUUUAAACACUGAGGAAAAGCAACCUUGUACUGCAGUGGGCUUUCCAUAAUUUGAUGUAGUAAAAUCAAUCUUGAGUUCUAACCACUCUGUUUUGGUUCCGCUGAAGUGGACUUAUGCAAUAACUUUAAGAGGUACUUGCAGAAGGUAAAAAUAAAUUAUCAUUAAUGUCUCUGCUGGCCAGAGUACUGAACUGUGGGUCAUGUGAGAUACCUGCUCAUUCCCAUUGGAAAUGUCAGGAAAAAAAAACAAAAAAAGAUAAACUCAGGUGCAAAGCAAUCUAACCAGUAGAUUUUAAUUUGAGGAAAAAAAGUAGGUUCCCAGUAAACAAUUAGAUUUAUGGUGUUCUGUUCCUGACAGUGGGUGAAAAUUAAAGAUUCAUGGAUAUCUGUUCUUUUAUUUAUAUACCAUAAAUCUUACAUUUGGAAGAUCCUUCACAACUGUCUGGCAUGUCAUGAGGAAUGUUGGGCUCCUGCAUUCUUCACAUGGAGCAAUAUCUCAAACUCAGCUACUUGAUGCCUAGAAACCCAAAACAAAUGACCUAACUUCUUCCACUGAAAGAAGAGUUUUGGGAAAGGGAUAAGGGACAGUAAAGUCCCCCUGAUUGUCUAGCAGAUCUUCCUCAUACUUGCCUACUGUUUAGAUCAGUUGAUUUAAAAAUCAUUAUAUUUUUCAUUUAAUUUAAUAGAAUUAAGAAAGAUAGACAAUAUGAUAGAAACAACUACAUAAAUGUUAAACCUGUGUGCAGACACAGGUUUUUAUUUAAUAUGAAGAGAUUUUAUUAUAAAUCCAAAGUCUUUUGGAAGUGCAGAGAUUCGUUAGUUACAUAACACUCUGGUUGCCAGUUUCCAAAUUUGUUUUCCUUAUCAAAACAAGUUAUAAAAUACAGGAUAACAUAGCAAACAUAGCAAAGUAUAAUCAGAGGAAUGAAAACUUCAGAUAAUCUAACCUGUUUAAAGGAAAUCUUACUACAACAGUGUACAGAUUUUCUCUCCUUCAUCUGCAUAUGUGACACAUACUCGUAUCAUAGAAUCACAGAAUAGCUUGGGUUAGAAGAGACUUUAAGGAUCAUCAAGCUCCAACCCCCCUCCUGCAUACAGAGCCACCAACCUCCAUAUCUAAUACUAGACUACUGAUAUCUUGUAAUUAAAGCAACAUAAAGAAAGGCCUCCAAAUACAGAUGGGCAAGGCCAGGCCAGGCAGAAGGAAGAAAAGUAAAUAUAACUUCUCGCUUCUGUUUAAAGCCAUAGGAUGAACCUGUGAUUGCAUCUAAUCCUACACCCUUUCACAUCCUGAACCCUAACCAUAAAUGUAUGCUUUUCUUGGAUGCAUAAUUUGAGGAGUUCAUUAUCUAUAUUUUAUUAUCAUCUAGCUUUUGUGUUUGAAGCACCUUAGAGUUUUUAAAGAAAAAAAAAAUCAGAAUUUAGUACACUUGAAAAGACACCAUCAUAUACUGCUACUACACCUAACUCAUAUAUUCCCUGCAGUUUGAGAGGCUGUCUCUCCCCUCCCACUUCCUGUGCUGAAUUAGCAGCUAUAUUUUGAUGCCACUCUAACAUUCACAUUUUUCCUGAGUCAAUCCCUGCAUGCAUUCAUCCAUACAUUCCCUACUCCCACAUUAACUUUUUACAGUCUGAUGAUGCCUGCUUAGUUCCUGGAUGCAGCAGGAAGUAAAAUAUCUGAAACUACAUGAAUGAAAAGCAGGAAGACUGGCCUGCAGUAAUACCAAGAGCCAAGUACAAGAGGGCUAAAUGUUCCCCUUUAUACUAGGAUUGGCAGAGGAAGAUAAACCACGAUCUAAAUUAGUAGCUGAUUCCUAGUCAAUAGCUGAAUGGUUAACAUGGCACUCAGUUACCACUAGUGGCUGGUACUGGAAUCACCAUCAACUGUGUAUUUCAUAACUGAAUCACACCAGAGUUCAGUACUGCCUUAUAUCUUAUGUAGCAGGAGCUAAAGAUGUUUAGAAGGGCAUAAGAGAGUUUUACAUCUAAUCCACGUCUUUUGCAAAGGGCAAAUGCCUAAUCCCACAUCUCUUACCUGCAAAGGAGUUAACGGGUAAGGAGUAAAGGAAUUAUUCAAUAAGGAAAGGAGCAAUAUGAUGGAAAGAAAAAGAAAUCACCUAGGAUCAAACAUAAAGAAUUCAAUAGCAACCUCUCGGCAUGAAUUUACCUAUGAUCCGAUGCAACCAACCUGACAAGCUCCCAGAGAUAACAGUUUGUCAAUUUCCCAUUUCAAAGGCAGUGCGAUAAUUGAAAGCUUUCAGAUAUAUCACAUGGAAAUCAAACUUUCAGCAAAAAACAAACUUUCUGAUAAAGGCCUGAGCUUAAUUCCAUUGAAUUCAAUGACAAAUCCCAGCAGCUUUCAAUAGAAGCUGAGUGAAGCUCAAGGUGAAAAGCAGCUCUGAGAACAGUUACAAUCAACUAAAUCCCCAGCUAGGUCAGAAAAAUUGUGAGAAUAUACUUCAUGUAAGUGGAGCUUGGGUUGGGAAUUCAGGACUGACUUGCAAGGAUCUCUGACACUGAGCUCUUUAAGAGACACUUAGAGAAGCCUACAAUGUUCAGCAAGGUCAGCAUGUCCCCAGUUUUCAUUGUAUUACCACAUGCUGCUAAGAACUUUCAUAGCACCUGACAGUUACCCUCUUUAUUUCAUCUAAAGCAAUCUACAGGCUGUCAACACAAGCUGCAGCCAAAUUGUUGUACUGGAGUGUAAACACAGAGUUGGUUGAUGAAGCAAUAAAUAACAUGAACAGGGAGAAAGGGCAAGAACUUUUUCAAGAGCAAGGAACACAAAGAAAUGUACAAUGUCAAAUUUAAGGACUAUUCAGCCCAAGACAUGAGAGAGGCAUGGAAUUGAUGUGUACGCUACCCUUGUAUGUCUCCAAAGCUGAACAUGAUUCUGCAGCUAGAAUAUGACUCAGCUUCAGAUUAACAAAGAAUGACAGGAUCCACAUACUGCAAUUGCACACAAACACUCAGAAUACUCUUAGGGCAUUUCUGCACUACUGGAGCAGUGUCUAAAGGAUACUGUCAUUUACGCAGGAAGAAAUAGAGAAACUUUUCUAAAGAAAUUCCUUUCUAUUUAUCAGAGUUAAGGAAAUGGAUGGGAGAUGUGCUUGGUCUUUGUAAUUGUCACUGAUGUCUUUUAUAGAGCUUCUACUUCUGCAAAGUCUUUUGAACUAGGUGAAAUACAAGGAAGAGGAAAGAACAAUUUAUCUACAAUUUCUUUAAAAUAAACAAACAAACAAAAAACCUGGAAGGAAGUAUAAUAAUCAUUCCCUUCUCUCUUUUACAGAUGAAGUUAAGGCCGUCAGAAAUUAAAGAACUUACUGAGGUUAUAGAGCACAGUCAGAAUUUGAACUCAGAGAUUCUGAGCCCAACUUCAGUGCCUCAGCUACACAUUAAUUUUCUUCUUUGUAUUCCCUCACAGUCUUAGGCCAUGUGGCCACUAUUGGUAAAAUGAAAAACAGGUGCAGAUCCUUGAACAGAUGGGAGACCAGCCCUGGCUGAUCUCUGGAGGAUAAUACAGGGUUGCUUUCCGGCAAAGAGGAUUCCAAAGAACUGCAGAGGCAACACCCCUGCCCUAAAAGUGAAGCUGUUCUGCUGCACAAUAAACAUUAUCUCUACCAGCCCAGUAAGCGGGAGUAUUGAGGCAUGCACAGUCUGUAGUCUGUCAGCAAAGAACAGUGCCUUACUGACCUCUUAGAACUGUAGUACUGAUACUUUGUUUUUCAGGCAUGCCUGUAAAGACUGUAGAGACUUAAUUGCAAUUCCAUUCUUCACAGUAACUGCAGCCAACAUUUUGCAGUUGCUGAAACACGAAGUUUCUUCCCUGGAGUAGGCAACUUUGGAAUGUCUGACCCUCCAAAAAUGCCAUUAGUCAUACGUAAAAGCUGGAAAAAUAACUAGUGGUAUGAAACAAAUAAUCCAGGUAAGAAUAAUGGUGUAUUUAUUCUAGAUCCGUAAGUACUGAGCCCCUUUUGGGUUCCCUGUUCAUGAGGAACUGAUAGCUUAGUCUGCAGUAUAUUGCUAAAGAAAGAACCUGAACUGCUGUCUCAGCAGGAGGGAGAUAGAAAAUGACUAACAGGGCAAUUGCAUAGUUCUAAACACAGGACUGAUAGUGAAGAUGCAAAGUAAUUCCCUGCUUUGUGUGACCUACAGUUGUGAUCUCUGUAUGUUAAAAGAUACAUUUUCCCUCUAUGUGUCACCUGCAGGUAUACAUCUGCCAAAAGGAUUAGAGAAAUCACAGCAAUUCUCAAUUUUCACAGAUCCCCACAGCACGUAUCAAACCCAAGAGGAGAGCUCUUGCAAGAAGACAGGAUAUGCUGUGCAUUAGAUGCUUCUGGUUCCAGCCUUUAUUAUAGGUUUCUCACUCUUUUAGUGCUGUGUCUGACAGAGGUUAGUUAAUCUCACUAAAGCUGCUUAUACAGCAAAAAGGCAUGUCCAAGGAACUCAAAUAGGAACUGACCAUUUCUUACAUCUCUGUACAAACUGGGAGUACCUGAUCUGCAACUUCAGAUCAAAAAAAUACUGUUAACAUACAUCUUUUUUGCUCAUGCUAGACUGUAAAUCAGAAUAGCUGGGAAAGUCUACCCUACCCCAGUUUCAAUUAGGUUUUGAAGGAAACCAUUUUUCACAGAUGACACUAAUAGAAUUUACAGUAAAGACCACCCGGGACACUGGGAAUCUCACACUCUUUGGCCUCAGGUUCUCUGAUUAGUUCUUCUCAGCUUCACAUGUGCUUUUUGAGGGACAAAAAGAAUGCUUCCUUCGUUCUGAACUUGGAUUUCUCUUUCAGCUGAACAUUUGUGAAAGCAGCCGUUCCCAUUUGGAAACUUCCAAAUCCCCUUUUGGAGCUGAGUACGUACAUUACUGAGUUAGUCAUGACACCACCUUAUAGAGAACAGACAAUGAAUUUUGGAUUCUAGCUGGAUUGUUGAGCUUUCCUAAACAAGUUGAUCUUAAUAUUUCAGAGUGUUGAGUGGAAGAUGAAAGGAGUAGAAUUUGUUCCAUCUGUGACCUGCGUAGGUACGUCUUGUGCUUUUCCAGCUCCGCAUCUGAUGUCGGUGAAUGUAGAAUUUUGAGCUAUCCUGCAAAUUAUUCUCUCAUCUGUUCAAUCACUUUUAGCAGCAGCUAUCAUUCCUGCAGACGUAGCCUACAUUAUGUUCCUUUUGUCUCUACGCAUUUCGGAGGCACUGUUAAAAACAGAGUGGAUCUCUCUAGAAAAUGAAAUGGCUUUGAUGUUCUCAUCUCUCCGGUUUACCUGAAAUAACCAGAAUGCCAAAAUAUUCAGCACUGACUUUCUCACAGAUCUGCCCUCCAGGAUCAGUUCUGAGCGACAUUUUCAGAUUUCUAUCAGAUUUUAUAUUUGAUAUCACUUUUUUUCUGAUUUUUUUUUAAUCAGUUCUUAUUUAACAGAUGCCGUCAAGCGCUUCAGAAAGUUUGGAAAGUUGAAAUUAGGAGCAUUGACAGAGAUUCUCUUUACAACACAGAUGACUGCAGUUAUGGAGAGACUUAGGCCUGGUCUGUGCAGUUUAUGUCCAAUACAAACAUUCCCAGGUGGCUGCAAUCAAACAUCUAACCAGCCGAUGUCAUUCUGACCAUGCACAUGGAGUUGCUUGGGAUAUCACUCCAACGGUAUACCAUGUUUGCACAAGGGGAUAAACUCAUAUGAUCUUGCUAUGGCAUCCAUGUUGAUGGGGGAUUAACCAUUCAGAAAAACAAAUGUUGUAAUGGUACAGAAUGCUCUCUGCAAAUGGCACCUGACUGCUCCUCCACAGGGAAGAGAAAAAAGGAUUGGUGCAGCCUCCUAACUGCACAACUUUCCCCCUUUCUGCCAGAUCCCAUUCUCUGCAGGCUGCAGUAUCUCCUCACCAGCACUGUCCCACUGCACAGGACAGGUGGGCAGCAGAAGGCAGGGCUCCUCUCUGCAGGUGGGCAGCAGAAGGCUCCUCUCUGCAGGGCAGCCCUCUGCAAAGGCAAACUUUGCUUUCCAGGAUUUGAAUUGUCUUUCAGAGACUGCUGCCACCUGUUUUGCCACAAUUAAUGGGGGAAAUUUUAACUCUUCCAUAAAACAUCCAGAACUGACUUCUUAGAUAGUAUCUACCCAAUGCUAGAGAAAGAAAGAUGGCCUCCAUUUUAAGAUUGUCUCAAUGCUUUCAGUUCAGACAAAAAUUUCCACACAGUAUUUCAGGUGCUCAGAGUUUUCUAGAAGCAGAAUGUUACCUGCUAAGGGUGUCCUAUGUGCCUUUCCACAAAAAACAACAGCAAAAUAGGAAAAAAGCAAGUAGUAAAACGGAGAAAGAAAGGAAACGUAGAACAAAACAAAACAAAGGAAUGAAAGACUGGUGAUCAGAAAGUGAUGUGAACAGGACAGCAAAAGCGUGGAAAAGACAAAGGGGAAAAUGCCGUUUUUCCUCUCUGAAGUACAUUAAAACUUACGGGACUCAUUCAAAAAGAGAACAAGAGUGGUUGCACGCUCAAAGGCUGGAUUUAAAAUUAGUAAUGGAGUAACUUAGAAUUUAGAACUCUAGAUUCAGCUGGGGAAGGCACCAAGGCACCACUUCCACAGCUCCUAACAGAGGUUAACAACUAAAACACGUACUUACAUGGCUGAGUCUCACGUGGUCAGACCAUGUUAGAAAGUUCUCUGUAGAAGCACUGCCACAUCAGAAAACUCACCAGUAAACCACGCUGACAAGCAUAAACUAGAACUUAAUCACUGCACAGGAGCAGGCAGAACUAGGAGUUGGAAACAAGGCCGCACACAGCAGCCACACUGCGCGGCAAACACCACCUCACUGACAUACGUGGCAUCUGUUUGCCUUUUUCGCUGUGUGCUUUUGCAGGGAUAUUUUCCUUAGAGUAGAGUUAAAGAAAACAGAUUUAAAGUCUGCUUGUUUUGUGGGGCUUUUGGCUUAAGCAGUUACGAAUUAGACGUGAAGACUUCACUGCUGCCUUGGUAUGAUUUGAAAACUGCGUACUUCCAUUUUCUUUCAUUCACACUUGCAAGAAGAAAAACCGUCCACGUUUUCAAUUCAAGCUUAAGCCAUGGACGUUGUUUUUCCACAAAACACGCACAGGUGCACCAGUCAGUUCACAGCUACUCAGCACCAUGAAGUGCAGUACACAGGAGGAGCGCAGAUGCUACAGGCGCGUCUUAGGGACAGCAAAGGCAAGGCGCAAGACGCAGCAGCAGGGCGGUGCCUAUGGGGAGCGGCCUCUGCUCGACUGCUGCUGGCCUCUGCAGCUCCUUCCGCAUCCAGCAGGAGGGCAGACGGGGCGCUCCUCCUCAGCAGGGAUUUCUGCACCGGCCCCUUGAGCCUGCUUUGAGAAUGUAUGUUAGUUCUGCUUGGAGAAAGGCAGAAGCUGUUUUGCCUGUGCUUUUCAAGCAACACAGUACCUACAAGAGAGAAAUUUAAAAAACUCACUGAUUUACCAUGUUAAAAAAAGAUGGCACAUUUAUUGCUACAUAAAUGUUAUAUACAUAGUGUUUUCUGUUACAUUGACAGAAAGUUUUUGAACUUCUCGCUGCUGGUUGGAAAGGUUUAUCAGCAAUACCUUGAAAUUUGACACAGGGUACAAAUCUGCAAUAAACCAACAAUGGAAACUGGAGAACAAGAUGAGAAGCAAUUCAUCUCGGACAAUUAGCUCUUACAAUACUCCAUAGGUACUACACGGUAUGCUAGAACCCUACUAUGGUCUUACAAUGCUAUUGUAAAUUUCUGAUAUUAAUGAACAGGUUAUGGUAAAUAACCCUACAUUUUUACUACCUAAUAUAGUAAAAUAAAGUAAGAAACUUUUUACUGAAAACUUUUUCGAUUUCAAAAAUCUAGAAAGAGUAAUAUUUAGAAUUCAAGAAAUUUUCUUACAAGAUUAUUGUAUAAAAGACUAGCUACAGUGAAAAAUAAGCCAAAUGUUUUUUUCUUUC